AUUUUCUAAGCUAAAGCAGUUUACUUACACUAAACAA
rnacentral:tRNA from 1 species